CUAUAUUUGAAGUUACCUCCACGUGUAUUUUAUGUAUGUAUACCCAUACAAUUAAGAAGUCUUUGGAUGUUUUAUCUUCAAGAAUAAUUCAGAUACUGGAUUACUUGAAUAUCAUAAACAUUUAGGGUUUAACAGAUUCGUUACAUAUAGACGUUGUAUCAUGGAUUGAAAAGACCAUAGCCAGCGGGCAGCAGCGGGCGGAGCGAACGAGCGGCGGCGAGGUCUGGACGGCGGGUGCAGGGGUCCGUGCUUCCUCGCGGUGGAAGGCUGGGGUUCGCCAGAGACGCCGGGUUGCUCCGCGUUGCCAGGUUACCGAGCGCGUGCCCCCCGCCCGCUCUUCCGCCCGGGCCGCCCUCGGCGCCGCCUGAGCCGCGGUGCGGGCUGCGCGGGGCGCCGGGUCCGCGGAAGCCUGGGUCGGGGGCUGCGUGAGGGACUCUCGUCGCGCGUGGACGCUGCGCGAGCGUGCGUGGGACGUAGGGCGCCGACCUGGGGCUCCCCGGCGCUCCGGCUCCGCUCAGGGCGCCCUCUCAGGGGCCUCCGGCGCGAGGCCCCCUUCGUGGUAAAGAUGGCGGCGCCCAGGCGGGCCGCGCCGGGGUGAGCUGGAGCUGGGCCCGGAGAGGGGUGAGUCAGCCACGCCCAGGACUUGGACCCCGGGCUCGUCUCCCGUCUCCCGGGGAGCGGCGGCAGGCUUUUCUUGGAGAACUGCCAGAUAAUGCCAUCCUGCCUCCUCACGGGCCCCGGGGAUGAGUCGCCCAGGGACUGAACUCCAGUAAAGCAGGUUAAUUAUCUGAGAAGAGUAUUGUGCCAGCACACUUGAUACUACAGUAUUUCAUGUUUGACAAGUAACCUUCUUUCAAUUAUAUUUACUGCUAAAUGUUUCUUGGAUCAAGCUAUUAAAUUAUAAGGUCAAAAGUAAAAUGAUAUGAAAUUACAAUGAUAAAGGGACACAUAUCCCACUUUAUGAGAAUAGAAGUUCUAAUUUCUUUUCAAUACUACUAGUAGUGACCACAGUACUAAUUUGAGCCCUUACUAUGAGCCACUGUGCCCAUAUACAUUUAGUUCUUACAGUAGUUCUGCAAAGGGCAUAUAAUAAUCCACCCUGUAAAGCUGAAGAAAGUGAUUCUCAUAGCUGAAAGUCACAUAGCUGGUGAGUGGCAAAGUCUAGAUUCAAACUUAGAGUCGUCUGACAAUACCCAGGUUGUUGACCACUAUGUACACUGCUCAAUUGUUGCACCAAUAAAGAAGGGCUUGAAAUAAUUAUAGAUUUGCCUACCCCGAAACUGCAGUGAUUUAAAGACAUCAAAGUUGCCAGUUGCUUAACCACAUCUACUUACAGUAAGAAAUUACAUUUUAUUUCAUUUCUAAAACAAGAUUAAUUCUGCAGGCCCAUCGAAACUGGAGCACACAAAUCCUACCUCCAAAUGAAAGAUGCUUGUUUUCCAUUAUUCAACACAUGGCCCUGUACAGAGGCAAUAAAUAUAUAGUAGAAUUUUCAUUCAAAUAAGUGAGAAGAGAGGUUUCUUCUUGUCCUGAUUCAGUGCCCAUCAUUAUGGAUUAUGAUGGCUCUUCCCAAACUUUACUUCAUUCCCUCCACUCUUUCUACAAAACUCCAGUAAUGGAAUCCAUCAUUCAGAUAUAUGUGCAAAGCGAAAGGACUGUAUUAAUACAGUUGCUGAAAGUCAAGUUGAUAGAGCACAGGAAAUACAUCCUAAUAAAUGCAACAUUAA